rnacentral:rRNA from 2 species
AUUAGCUAGUUGGUGAGGUAAUGGCUCACCAAGGCAACGAUCCGUAGCUGGUCUGAGAGGAUGAUCAGCCACAUCGGGACUGAGACACGGCCCGAACUCCUACGGGAGGCAGCAGUGGGGAAUAUUGGACAAUGGGGGCAACCCUGAUCCAGCCAUGCCGCGUGUGUGAAGAAGGCCCUCGGGUUGUAAAGCACUUUCAGCGAGGAAGAACGCCUAGUGGUUAAUACCCAUUAGGAAAGACAUCACUCGCAGAAGAAGCACCGGCUAACUCCGUGCCAGCAGCCGCGGUAAUACGGAGGGUGCAAGCGUUAAUCGGAAUUACUGGGCGUAAAGCGCGCGUAGGUGGCUUGAUAAGCCGGUUGUGAAAGCCCCGGGCUCAACCUGGGAACGGCAUCCGGAACUGUCAAGCUAGAGUGCAGGAGAGGAAGGUAGAAUUCCCGGUGUAGCGGUGAAAUGCGUAGAGAUCGGGAGGAAUACCAGUGGCGAAGGCGGCCUUCUGGACUGACACUGACACUGAGGUGCGAAAGCGUGGGUAGCAAACAGGAUUAGAUACCCUGGUAGUCCACGCCGUAAACGAUGUCGACCAGCCGUUGGGUGCCUAGCGCACUUUGUGGCGAAGUUAACGCGAUAAGUCGACCGCCUGGGGAGUACGGCCGCAAGGUUAAAACUCAAAUGAAUUGACGGGGGCCCGCACAAGCGGUGGAGCAUGUGGUUUAAUUCGAUGCAACGCGAAGAACCUUACCUACUCUUGACAUCCUGCGAACUUGUGAGAGAUCACUUGGUGCCUUCGGGAACGCAGAGACAGGUGCUGCAUGGCUGUCGUCAGCUCGUGUUGUGAAAUGUUGGGUUAAGUCCCGUAACGAGCGCAACCCUUGUCCUUAUUUGCCAGCGAGUAAUGUCGGGAACUCUAAGGAGACUGCCGGUGACAAACCGGAGGAAGGUGGGGACGACGUCAAGUCAUCAUGGCCCUUACGAGUAGGGCUACACACGUGCUACAAUGGCCGGUACAAAGGGUUGCGAGCUCGCGAGAGUCAGCUAAUCCCGAAAAGCCGGUCUCAGUCCGGAUCGGAGUCUGCAACUCGACUCCGUGAAGUCGGAAUCGCUAGUAAUCGUGAAUCAGAAUGUCACGGUGAAUACGUUCCCGGGCCUUGUACACACCGCCCGU